GACGAACGCUGGCGGCGUGCUUAACACAUGCAAGUCGAACGGAAAGGCCCUGCUUUUGUGGGGUGCUCGAGUGGCGAACGGGUGAGUAACACGUGAGUAACCUGCCCUUGACUUUGGGAUAACUUCAGGAAACUGGGGCUAAUACCGGAUAGGAGCUCCUGCUGCAUGGUGGGGGUUGGAAAGUUUCGGCGGUUGGGGAUGGACUCGCGGCUUAUCAGCUUGUUGGUGGGGUAGUGGCUUACCAAGGCGUUGACGGGUAGCCGGCCUGAGAGGGUGACCGGCCACACGGGGACGGAGAGACGGCCCAGAGGCCGACGGGAGGAAGCAGUGGGGGAUUGGGGACAACGGGCGAAAGCCUGAUCCAGCAAGGCCGCGUGUGUGAAGAAGGCCUUCGGGGUGGAAAGGACGUUGGUCCGGAAAGAAAUCCUUGGCCCUAAUACGGUCGGGGGAUGACGGGACCGGAAGAAUAAGCACCGGCUAACGACGUG
rnacentral:rRNA from 1 species